UUGAACGCUGGCGGAAUGCUUUACACAUGCAAGUCGAGCGGCAGCGCGGGGCAACCUGGCGGCGAGCGGCGAACGGGUGAGUAACAUAUCGGAACGUACCCUAUCGUGGGGGAUAACACAUCGAAAGAUGUGCUAAUACCGCAUACGAUCUCUGGAUGAAAGCGGGGGACUCGCAAGGGCCUCGCGCGAUUGGAGCGGCCGAUAUCAGAUUAGCUAGUUGGUGGGGUAAAAGCCCACCAAGGCGACGAUCUGUAGCUGGUCUGAGAGGACGACCAGCCACACUGGAACUGAGACACGGUCCAGACUCCUACGGGAGGCAGCAGUGGGGAAUUUUGGACAAUGGGCGCAAGCCUGAUCCAGCAAUGCCGCGUGCAGGAUGAAGGCCUUCGGGUUGUAAACUGCUUUUGUACGGAGCGAAAAGGCUCUCUCUAAUAAAGGGGGCUCAUGACGGUACCGUAAGAAUAAGCACCGGCUAACUACGU
rnacentral:rRNA from 1 species